CGGAGACGACAGACUUGAUGGAUUCAGUGGAGCGGCUAUGCUGGAAGGCGUCUGACACGUCAAAAUCCUCCACCGUCAGCAUGUCCUGCAGCGUUUGCAUGGUGGCGUCCAAGGUCUUUCUCACCUGCAGGGAGCGUGGACAAGGAAAACAGAUGUCAAACACUUCCUGUUUUAUACCUGCACAAUGACAGUACUACGCCUGGGCUGGCGGUCCUCGUGGCGCAGGAGGUUGACGUUGAGAUCUCCUGACUUGCUGAACUGCUUCUCCUCUUGUUUCUCAGCAUCCUUCAGCUUACUCUCGGCGCUGAUGCUCUCUGUAUGGUACAUGUGGUUUCCUGUGAGCCACCAAAUAAUGCCAACUUCACCACUUCAACGUCUUUCAUCUUCUUGACAAACCACUGCCAGAGUUUCCAUUCUGCGAUGAGGUGGCGACUUAUCCAGGGUGUACCCCACCUAUCGCCCGAAUGCAGCUGAGAUAGACGCCAGCGACCCCCCGCAACCCCAGAAGGGACAAGCGGUAGAAAAUGGAUGGAUGGAUGGAUGGAGUUUCCAUUUCCGAGUGCCGGGCGCACAGACACACACCUAGAGGAAGGUGUGCAAGGUGUGUGCAGGCUCUGAAUGUUUGUAUAAGACCUCAGUCAUCUCUGCUAUGUGCUGACAAAAUGCUGCGAACACUCAUUGGAACCCUGCUAAAUAUUUGGAUAACCCCUCAACUUUUCUGAUGCCAUUUCAGCUGCCUUUGGUCCGGACCAGGAGAUCACUAACCACUUUAUUAGGUACACCAGCACAACUAAAUGGUUGUGGUUAUAGUGGUGCGAUGUAACCUACAACCCCAAAUAUAUCAAAACUAGGGGUGUCCCGAUCCAUUAUGGAUAUUAGGGAUGUAACACUACAAACAUUUCAUGUCACUGUGACAAACAUUAUCACGGUUAUUAUUAUUGCGGUAUUGUUGAAUGUGCUCAAAAAGUACUGGUACAUACACUGAAAUAAUAACUACUGGUAAGAUAAAUAGACAACUAUUUUGCAUGUUUUGUGUUUCUUAUCAGAAUGCGUCUACUAACGUAUUAAAUUUGGAAUUUUA